rnacentral:rRNA from 1 species
GUUAUAUGGUCAAGUGAAGAAGCGCAUACGGUGGAUGCCUUGGCAGUCAGAGGCGAUGAAAGACGUGGUAGCCUGCGAAAAGCUUCGGGGAGUCGGCAAACAGACUUUGAUCCGGAGAUCUCUGAAUGGGGGAACCCACCUAGGAUAACCUAGGUAUCUUGUACUGAAUCCAUAGGUGCAAGAGGCGAACCAGGGGAACUGAAACAUCUAAGUACCCUGAGGAAAAGAAAUCAACCGAGAUUCCCUUAGUAGUGGCGAGCGAACGGGGAUUAGCCCUUAAGCUUCAUUGAUUUUAGCGGAACGCUCUGGAAAGUGCGGCCAUAGUGGGUGAUAGCCCCGUACGCGAAAGGAUCUUUGAAGUGAAAUCGAGUAGGACGGAGCACGAGAAACUUUGUCUGAACAUGGGGGACCAUCCUCCAAGGCUAAAUACUACUGACUGACCGAUAGUGAACCAGUACCGUGAGGGAAAGGCGAAAAGAACCCCGGAGAGGGGAGUGAAAUAGAACCUGAAACCGUAUGCGUACAAGCAGUGGGAGCCUACUUGUUAGGUGACUGCGUACCUUUUGUAUAAUGGGUCAGCGACUUAUAUUCAGUGGCAAGCUUAACCGUAUAGGGUAGGCGUAGCGAAAGCGAGUCUUAAUAGGGCGUUUAGUCGCUGGGUAUAGACCCGAAACCGGGCGAUCUAUCCAUGAGCAGGUUGAAGGUUAGGUAACACUGACUGGAGGACCGAACCCACUCCCGUUGAAAAGGUAGGGGAUGACUUGUGGAUCGGAGUGAAAGGCUAAUCAAGCUCGGAGAUAGCUGGUUCUCCUCGAAAGCUAUUUAGGUAGCGCCUCAUGUAUCACUCUGGGGGGUAGAGCACUGUUUCGGCUAGGGGUCAUCCCGACUUACCAAACCGAUGCAAACUCCGAAUACCCAGAAGUGCCGAGCAUGGGAGACACACGGCGGGUGCUAACGUCCGUCGUGAAAAGGGAAACAACCCAGACCGCCAGCUAAGGUCCCAAAGUUGUGGUUAAGUGGUAAACGAUGUGGGAAGGCUUAGACAGCUAGGAGGUUGGCUUAGAAGCAGCCACCCUUUAAAGAAAGCGUAAUAGCUCACUAGUCGAGUCGGCCUGCGCGGAAGAUGUAACGGGGCUCAAACCACACACCGAAGCUGCGGGUGUCACGUAAGUGACGCGGUAGAGGAGCGUUCUGUAAGCCUGUGAAGGUGAGUUGAGAAGCUUGCUGGAGGUAUCAGAAGUGCGAAUGCUGACAUGAGUAACGACAAUGGGUGUGAAAAACACCCACGCCGAAAGACCAAGGGUUCCUGCGCAACGUUAAUCGACGCAGGGUUAGUCGGUUCCUAAGGCGAGGCUGAAAAGCGUAGUCGAUGGGAAACAGGUUAAUAUUCCUGUACUUCUGGUUACUGCGAUGGAGGGACGGAGAAGGCUAGGCCAGCUUGGCGUUGGUUGUCCAAGUUUAAGGUGGUAGGCUGAAAUCUUAGGUAAAUCCGGGGUUUCAAGGCCGAGAGCUGAUGACGAGUCGUCUUUUAGAUGACGAAGUGGUUGAUGCCAUGCUUCCAAGAAAAGCUUCUAAGCUUCAGGUAACCAGGAACCGUACCCCAAACCGACACAGGUGGUCGGGUAGAGAAUACCAAGGCGCUUGAGAGAACUCGGGUGAAGGAACUAGGCAAAAUGGCACCGUAACUUCGGGAGAAGGUGCGCCGGCUAGGGUGAAGGAUUUACUCCGUAAGCUCUGGCUGGUCGAAGAUACCAGGCCGCUGCGACUGUUUAUUAAAAACACAGCACUCUGCAAACACGAAAGUGGACGUAUAGGGUGUGACGCCUGCCCGGUGCCGGAAGGUUAAUUGAUGGGGUUAGCGCAAGCGAAGCUCUUGAUCGAAGCCCCGGUAAACGGCGGCCGUAACUAUAACGGUCCUAAGGUAGCGAAAUUCCUUGUCGGGUAAGUUCCGACCUGCACGAAUGGCGUAACGAUGGCGGCGCUGUCUCCACCCGAGACUCAGUGAAAUUGAAAUCGCUGUGAAGAUGCAGUGUAUCCGCGGCUAGACGGAAAGACCCCGUGAACCUUUACUGUAGCUUUGCACUGGACUUUGAGCCUGCUUGUGUAGGAUAGGUGGGAGGCUUUGAAGCGUGGACGCCAGUUCGCGUGGAGCCAUCCUUGAAAUACCACCCUGGCAUGCUUGAGGUUCUAACUCUGGUCCGUAAUCCGGAUCGAGGACAGUGUAUGGUGGGCAGUUUGACUGGGGCGGUCUCCUCCUAAAGAGUAACGGAGGAGUACGAAGGUGCGCUCAGACCGGUCGGAAAUCGGUCGUAGAGUAUAAAGGCAAAAGCGCGCUUGACUGCGAGACAGACACGUCGAGCAGGUACGAAAGUAGGUCUUAGUGAUCCGGUGGUUCUGUAUGGAAGGGCCAUCGCUCAACGGAUAAAAGGUACUCCGGGGAUAACAGGCUGAUACCGCCCAAGAGUUCAUAUCGACGGCGGUGUUUGGCACCUCGAUGUCGGCUCAUCACAUCCUGGGGCUGAAGCCGGUCCCAAGGGUAUGGCUGUUCGCCAUUUAAAGUGGUACGCGAGCUGGGUUUAGAACGUCGUGAGACAGUUCGGUCCCUAUCUGCCGUGGACGUUUGAGAUUUGAGAGGGGCUGCUCCUAGUACGAGAGGACCGGAGUGGACGAACCUCUGGUGUUCCGGUUGUCACGCCAGUGGCAUUGCCGGGUAGCUAUGUUCGGAAAAGAUAACCGCUGAAAGCAUCUAAGCGGGAAACUUGCCUCAAGAUGAGAUCUCACUGGGAACUUGAUUCCCCUGAAGGGCCGUCGAAGACUACGACGUUGAUAGGCUGGGUGUGUAAGCGUUGUGAGGCGUUGAGCUAACCAGUACUAAUUGCCCGUGAGGCUUGACCAUAUAACACCCAAACA